rnacentral:rRNA from 1 species
GACGAACGCUGGCGGCGUGCCUAAUACAUGCAAGUAGAACGCAGUUGCGAACGGCUUAGUAACGCGUAGGUAACUGCCUGGUAGCGGGGGAUAACUAUUGUAAACGAUAGCUAAUACCGCAUACUACCAGAUGGACCUGCUUUGUAUUAGCUAUUUGGUGAGGUAACGGCACACCAAGGCAACGAUACAUAGCCGAGCGGAGAGGGUGAUCGGGCACACUGGGACUGAGACACGGCCCAGAAUCCUACGGGAGGCAGCAGGAGGGAAGCUUCGGGAAUGGGGGGAACCCUGACCGAGGAAAGGCGCGGGAGUGAAGAAGGGUUUCGGAGCGGAAAGCUCUGGUGUUAAGGAAGCGGUACUUAACCAGAAAGGGACGGCUAACUACGGGCCAGCAGCCGCGGUAAUAC